GAUUAUGGCUCAGGAUGAACGCUGGCGGCGUGCCUAACACAUGCAAGUCGAACGGAGUAAUUAAGCGGAAGUUUCGGAUGGAAGCAUAGUUACUUAGUGGCGGACGGGUGAGUAACGCGUGGGCAACCUGCCCUGUACCGGGGGAUAACACUUAGAAAUAGGUGCUAAUACCGCAUAAGCGCACAGCUUCGCAUGAAGGUGUGUGAAAAACUCCGGUGGUACAGGAUGGACCCGCGUCUGAUUAGCUAGUUGGUGGGGUAGAGGCCUACCAAGGCGACGAUCAGUAGCCGGCCUGAGAGGGUGACCGGCCACAUUGGGACUGAGACACGGCCCAAACUCCUACGGGAGGCAGCAGUGGGGAAUAUUGCACAAUGGGGGAAACCCUGAUGCAAGCGACGCCGCGUGAGUGAAGAAGUAUUUCGGUAUGUAAAGCUCUAUCAGCAGGGAAGAAAAUGACGGUACCUGACUAAGAAGCCCCGGCUAACUACGUGCCAGCCGCUGC
rnacentral:rRNA from 1 species